AUGUGUCUGCUACAUUUUUAAAGAUGACAUUGGAGACGUUCUUUGGAUCGGUUUUGCCUGCCUCCACAAACGCAAACCCAAACUUGAGGCCUGUGCAAUCAAAGUUGAAAGUAAAGUUAGAAUACAUUUUUUUUUAUCAUCAAAUAAUAAUAUAUUUGCUUUAUAUAGUUAGAGCUUUUCAUACAGAAUCUCUAAGUCGCUUUAAUUUUUUUUUUAAACAAAACAAUUCAGGCAGCUGGCAGUUCAUUGGAGAUGGUCUUCCACAGAUCGAUGAUGAUCCCGUUCAAUAAAGGAGUAGCUUGAGUGGUGGUGGCAUCAAUGGUACAGCCAGGGAGGGAGAAACAUCAGUCAGACAGGCCCGGAGCUUUUCAUCAGGCACUUCUGUCGCUGAAGUUCACAGUUACGGCUCUGUAUAGGCUGGAUCAUCCACCACCGAAAGUGUAACACCCACCUGGGUCAUCCUUCGGCAGCUAUAAGAGCCUGAGAGACCACCACACCUUGGCAGUUAUCCUAUGAGGCGAGCCUCUGUAAUCCACUCCCACAGUCCACGUCCUUCCAGAAACAGGGGAAGGUGUAAUAAAAAGCCGGUGCUGUGUUGAUCAGGUGUUGGAUGCAUUUUUCAAAUUAAAUUAGCCAGCUAGCUAUAGUUAGCCAAGACAAGUAAACAUACUUGCCAUCGUCAGUCCUGCAACUCCAUGAGUCACCAACAUAUGUUUUAGGCCAACCUUCAACAGGUUAUCAACCCCCCUCCCCCAAAAAAUAUUUUUAAAAUACUUAAAAUAACAAAAAUAACUACAUUUACAGAGUUCUCUGCCAAAGCUUCCUCACGGCGCCAUGGCAACCACGGAACUAAGACGAGAUAACAGUAAGAUCUUACUUUACUACUCUAGCUAGCUAGCUAGCUAACGUUACAUUACCGAGCUUGUCUGUCAGGCAGCCAGAUUCAUGAACAAUACUCACACAAUGCAAAGAAGCUGCAGAGGAGGAUGAACGCAUCAUGGACAGCUAUUGAAUCGGGGAAAGCCAUGUCAAAAAACUGUACAGCUAGCCAGCUGUAGCUGGUAGCAUAAAUAGCUAGCUACUAGCUUGCAAUCUGGUUCGUUAGCGCAGCCGUUAGCUAACUAUGCAAUGGCAAAACAAGUAGCCUAGCUAAUGAUACACCUAUAAGCACAUUAGCUAUGUGUGGUUCACGGUAUCAGGCUCGCAAGUGACUGAUCGUGAUGGAGGCAGACACGAUACAUACAUAUAUCCAGGCUAGGUUGAAGAUAAUUAGCUAGCUAGCAAAGUAUACGUUUGCAUUUUUUUUCCGAACUCGCAUUCGGGUGCUUCUAUUACGUCAAAUAUCCUUACCUGUGUGAUUAGCUAAUAAUAAACCUAUGGGGAAGAGAGCGCGGAAUGCCUGUGUGAUGGGUCGUUCCGAACGAGUCGGCUCUUGUAGGUGAACAUUUAUAUUUACAUUUUAGUCAUUUAGCAGACGCUCUUAUCCAGAGCGACUUACAGUAGUGAAUACAUUUCAUACAUUUUUUUUUUUUGUACUGGCCCCCGUGGGAAUCGAACCCACAACCCUGGCGUUGCACACACCAUGCUGGCGAUGCAAACACCAUGCUCUACCAACUGAGCCACAGGG
rnacentral:lncRNA from 1 species